GACGAACGCUGGCGGCGUGCUUAACACAUGCAAGUCGAACGGAAAGGCCCUGCUUUUGUGGGGUGCUCGAGUGGCGAACGGGUGAGUAACACGUGAGUAACCUGCCCUUGACUUUGGGAUAACUUCAGGAAACUGGGGCUAAUACCGGAUAGGAGCUCCUGCUGCAUGGUGGGGGUUGGAGAGUUUCGGCGGUUGGGGAUGGACUCGCGGCUUAUCAGCUUGUUGGUGGGGUAGUGGCUUACCAAGGCUUUGACGGGUAGCCGGCCUGAGAGGGUGACCGGCCACAUUGGGACUGAGAUACGGCCCAGACUCCUACGGGAGGCAGCAGUGGGGAAUAUUGCACAAUGGGCGGAAGCCUGAUGCAGCAAAGCCGCGUGCGGGAUGACGGCCUUCGGGUUGUAAACCGCUUUCGCCUGCGACGAAGCGUGAGUGACGGUAAUGGGUAAAGAAGCACCGGCUAACUACGUG
rnacentral:rRNA from 1 species